GGAAUACUGCAGUGGCAGUAUCGUAGCCAAUGAGGUUAAUCCGAGGCGCGAUUAUUGCUAAUUGAAAACUCUGCCCUACCUCCCAGGGGUCAUAUCAGGAUAAAUACAUUAAAGAUUGUGAGGUGCUCAGAUAC